AUACGUAGGGUGCAAGCGUUAAUCGGAAUUACUGGGCGUAAAGCGUGCGCAGGCGGUUUUGGAACGAAGUGGGGAAAUCCCCGGGCUCAACCUGGGAACCGCCCUUGUGACUGCAAGGCUAGAGCACGGCAGAGGGGGAUGGAAUUCCGCGUGUAGCAGGGAACUGCGUAGAUAUGCGGAGGAACACCGAUGGCGAAGGCAAUCCCCUGGGCCUGUACUGACGCUCAUGCACGAAAGCGUGGGGAGCAAACAGGAUUAGAUACCCUGGUAGUCCACGCCCUAAACGAUGUCAACUGGUUGUUGGGUCUUCAUUGACUCAGUAACGAAGCUAACGCGUGAAGUUGACCGCCUGGGGAGUACGGCCGCAAGGUUGAAACUUAAAGGAAUUGACGGGG
rnacentral:rRNA from 1 species